ACUCCUACGGGAGGCAGCAGUGGGGAAUAUUGCACAAUGGGCGCAAGCCUGAUGCAGCCAUGCCGCGUGUAUGAAGAAGGCCUUCGGGUUGUAAAGUACUUUCAGCAGUGAGGAAGGUGGGUAUGUUAAUAGCAUAUUCAUUUGACGUUAGCUGCAGAAGAAGCACCGGCUAACUCCGUGCCAGCAGCCGCGGUAAUACGGAGGGUGCGAGCGUUAAUCGGAAUUACUGGGCGUAAAGCGCAUGCAGGUGGUUUGUUAAGUCAGAUGUGAAAGCCCGGGGCUCAACCUCGGAAUUGCAUUUGAAACUGGCAAACUAGAGUACUGUAGAGGGGGGUAGAAUUUCAGGUGUAGCGGUGAAAUGCGUAGAGAUCUGAAGGAAUACCGGUGGCGAAGGCGGCCCCCUGGACAGAUACUGACACUCAGAUGCGAAAGCGUGGGGAGCAAACAGGAUUAUAUACCCUGGUAGGCUCU
rnacentral:rRNA from 1 species